UGCAUGCAGAGGGGAGCUAGAGGAGUGUAUCGGGUGGCCACACGUGUGUACACGGCAAGCGAAGGCAUCCGGCCAGGUGUGCCUACCUGGAGACCCGCGUCAGUCCUGCCAGCUGAGCAGGGCGCAGCCCUUCCCGCGCAGGGAAAGACUUCGGCAGCCGGCUCCCAGGGACCAGCUCGUCUGCGACAGGGAAGCCAGCGGCAGCCUGGCUCUUAGAGAGGAGUCAGCGCAGGGCCACGACCCAACGGAAAAAUAAAUCCCCGUCGUGCCAGACAGGCUCGGUUCCCGGCUGGGGAGCUGAGCUGGGCUUGUAAUGGACGCAUGUCUGUCCCCUCGCUGGGCUGUGAGUGGCUGGGAGCUCCAUGCGGGCAGGGACAGAAUGUCAGUGUUCGGCUCACGGCUGUUCCCAGUGCCGAGAACAGCACGCAGCAGGUGGUAGGAGCUAAAAGGAAGGAUGGAUGAGGUGGGAGCCGUCUUCUAACAUGCCACGAGCAUUCUCAGGAGGGUGUUUCUGAUGACGGCUGUGACAGUGUCAUAGAGGGCAUGGUGACUGUCUAACAGAGGGGCCCUAAAGUGCCUGGGGUGGGCAAGGAGGCCCUCCAUGAGGAAGUGACAUUUAAGGGAGAGCAGAGGGUGAGCAGACGCCAACCAGAUGGAGAGAGGGAAGGGUGUUCCAGGCAGAGGGAACCGCACAUGCAAAGGCUGUGAAGCAGGAAGGAGCAAGACUGAGAGGGGAGCUGAAAGGCGGGCCUGGCAGGAGCAUGAGGUGGGGAAACAGUCGACAGGACCGGCAUGGACUUGAAGACACACCUGCCUUGUGCCACGAAUGACGUGGAUUUGUUGUCCCCAUUGUGUGGGUAAGUCUUUUGCCCAAGGUCACAUCAUUGACAGUGGCAGGUGUGGGAGUGAAGCCAGGCCGGGUCCACAGCCUGCGCCUCCUGGGGUGAGACUGACGCUCUGAGAGGAAAAGGGACACGUUCAAAGUCCCACGGUCAGAAAUUGCAGCCGUGGACACUUACUGGGUAUCCACCACGUAUCUCUGUGUCCUGCCCUCUGCUCUUGAAACCUCAGGGAAAUAAAUCCUACCGAAAUACCCCCUUUUCAGCUGAGAAAACAGGUCAGAAAGGUGGGAAGGAGCAGAGCUAGGAUUUGAGCCACUCUGAACCUGCGCUUUUCGUGGCUAUACAGCAAGCUCCCCUCCGGGAGAGCUGGGGCAGCGGUGCCCGUCCUUACCCAGCCUGGGGACGCUUG